AUCCCGCUGACGAGUCCCGAAUGGGACGAAACGUGCGUCCUGGAU
rfam:Schistosoma mattheei strain Denwood, Zambia genome assembly, scaffold: SMTD_contig0002779